rnacentral:rRNA from 1 species
AGAGUUUGAUCCUGGCUCAGAAUGAACGUUGGCGGCGUGCCUAACACAUGCAAGUCGAGCGAGAAAGUUCCUUCGGGAAUGAGUACAGCGGCGGACGGGUGAGUAACACGUAAGAAUCUGCCCUAUAGUGAGGAAUACCCUCGAGAAAUUGAGGUUAAUACUGCAUAAGUCCCUGCGGGGAGAAAAGCGUCUUUAUGUCGCUGCUAUAGGAUGAGCUUGCGGACUAUCAGCUUGUUGGUGAGGUAAAGGCUCACCAAGGCUAUGACGGUUAACCGGCCUGAGAGGGUGUACGGUCACAUAGGCACUGAGAUACGGGCCUGACUCCUACGGGAGGCAGCAGUGGGGAAUAUUGCGCAAUGGGCGAAAGCCUGACGCAGCGACGCCGCGUGGAGGAUGAAGGUCCUAGGAUUGUAAACUCCUGUCGGAUGGGAAGAAAAUACUACAUUUAAUAGAUGUGGAAUAUGACGGUACCAUCAAAGGAAGCACCGGCUAACUUCGUGCCAGCAGCCGCGGUAAUACGAAGGGUGCAAACGUUAUUCGGAAUCAUUGGGCGUAAAGGGUGCGUAGACGGUAUGUUAAGUUCGUUGUUAAAGACUCUGGCCUAACCGGAGUUCCGCAAUGAAAACUGGCGUGCUAGAGGGUGAGAGAGAGAAGUGGAAUUCCUGGAGUAGCGGUAAAAUGCGUGGAUCUCAGGAGGAACACCAAUGGCGAAGGCAGCUUCUUGGCUCAUUCCUGACGUUGAGGCACGAAAGCGUGGGGAGCAAACAGGAUUAGAUACCCUGGUAGUCCACGCCGUAAACGAUAAUCACUAGAUGUUGGUUCGGCUUAGCUGGAUCAGUGUCGUAGCUAACGCGUUAAGUGAUUCGCCUGGGGAGUAUGGUCGCAAGGCUAAAACUUAAAAGAAUUGACGGGGGUCCGCACAAGCGUUGAACAUGUGGUUUAAUUCGACACUACGCGAGAAACUUACCUGGGCUGACAUGUACUGACAGCUGUAGAAAUUGGUUCUUUGAUUUCGGUUCAACGUACACAGUGCUGCAUGCUUGCGUCAGCUCGGUCGGAGAAUGUUGGUUAGUCCUUACCGAGUCGCAACACCCUGCACAUUGCAAUUGAAUCUUAGAAUAGACUUGAUGGUAACGCCGGACUGGGAAACGUGGUAGAAAU